CACUUCACAGUUGGCCAGGAGCAACCUUAAGGUACAAAGCCUUCCCUGGAGGAGUGGGGGAUCUGAGCAAGAGAGCAUUACCACAAUAAGCAGCUUUUGGACUCAGCACAACCAAGACAAGUGUCAUAAUACCUGGCUUUGCUGGAUAUUAACUACAACAGGGAAUAUCCAUAGAAAAACCAUUGGACAUAAGGGGGAAAAAAGCCUGCUGUUAAA